rnacentral:rRNA from 1 species
UGGGGAAUAUUGCACAAUGGGCGCAAGCCUGAUGCAGCAACGCCGCGUGAACGAUGAAGGUCUUCGGAUCGUAAAGUUCUGUUGCAGGGGAAGAUAAUGACGGUACCCUGUGAGGAAGCCCCGGCUAACUACGUGCCAGCAGCCGCGGUAAUACGUAGGGGGCUAGCGUUGUUCGGAUUUACUGGGCGUAAAGCGCACGUAGGCGGACUUUUAAGUCAGGGGUGAAAUCCCGGGGCUCAACCCCGGAACUGCCUUUGAUACUGGAAGUCUUGAGUAUGGUAGAGGUGAGUGGAAUUCCGGGUGUAGAGGUGAAAUUCGUAGAUAUUCGGAGGAACACCAGUGGCGAAGGCGGCUCACUGGACCAUUACUGACGCUGAGGUGCGAAAGCGUGGGGAGCAAACAGG